UGCAGUCGAGCGCCCCGCAAGGGGAGCGGCAGACGGGUGAGUAACGCGUGGGAACGUACCUUUUGCUACGGAAUAACUCAGGGAAACUUGUGCUAAUACCGUAUGUGCCCUUCGGGGGAAAGAUUUAUCGGCAAAGGAUCGGCCCGCGUUGGAUUAGCUAGUUGGUGAGGUAAAGGCUCACCAAGGCGACGAUCCAUAGCUGGUCUGAGAGGAUGAUCAGCCACACUGGGACUGAGACACGGCCCAGACUCCUACGGGAGGCAGCAGUGGGGAAUAUUGGACAAUGGGCGCAAGCCUGAUCCAGCCAUGCCGCGUGAGUGAUGAAGGCCCUAGGGUUGUAAAGCUCUUUCACCGGUGAAGAUAAUGACGGUAACCGGAGAAGAAGCCCC
rnacentral:rRNA from 1 species